rnacentral:rRNA from 1 species
UACGGAGGGGGCAAGCGUUAUUCGGAAUCAUUGGGCGUAAAGGGCGCGUAGGCGGCCUUGCAAGUCAAAGGUGAAAUCCCUCGGCCUAACCGAGGAACUGCCUUUGAUACUGCAUGGCUCGAGGCCGGGAGAGGGUAGCGGAAUUUCCGGUGUAGCGGUGAAAUGCGUAGAUAUCUGGAGGAACACCGGUGGCGAAGGCGGCGUCCUGGACCAACACUGACACUGAGGAGCGAAAGCCAGGGGAGCAAACGGG